CAAUAGCGUAUAUUAAAGUUGUUGCGGUUAAAAAGCUCGUAGUUGGAGUUCUGCCAGGUGCCGCCUGUCCGCCCCAGUGGUGAGUACGUGGCGCGCAUUUGGCCCUUUCAAGGGGAGCGUAUCUGCACUUUAUUGUGUGGUGCGGGAUCCUUGACUUUUACUUUGAGGAAAUAGGAGUGUUCCAAGCAGGCUCUCGUCGUGCACAGCUCAGCAUGGAAUAAUAGCAUUGGACCUCGAUUCUAAGCUGUUGGUUGCCAGAAGCGAGGUAAUGAUGAAGAGGGAUAGUUGGGGGCAUUCGUAUUUCAUUGUCAGAGGUGAAAUUCUUGGAUUUAUGAAAGACGAACUUCUGCGAAAGCAUUUGCCAAGGAUGUUUUCAUUGA
rnacentral:rRNA from 1 species